UAUCCCACUGGGGCAGGCGGAAAGGCUCCGCUUCUGAUCGCAUGGUUUGGCAUGGCCACGGCUUCCGAAUGUCAGAGGGGCAGGUGAGUAACCCCGUGUGUCUCGGCCCCGUGUCCUGUCGGAUCUGCUUUUGUUGACCGGCUUGUCGUGUAGGAUCGGCGCUGCGGAGAUCUUGAAGACCCCCCAUGCACCUUACGAGCUGAAGCUGAUGGGCUGGAAAUCAGGCCGUGGCCAGAGCUGGAGGCGUGGGACGAGGGGUCGGAAAAGAGUCUCUUGCUCCAGCUCGCGUUAAACAUCAGGGCUCUUGCUUUGGUCUUUCUUUCCUCGCUACACUUUCUGUGGGUAGUGCCGCCCGUGGGCGUGGGUACUGCCGUCACCAGUGUGUUGAUGGUUCCACAGUGACCUACAGUUUGUGCUCUUCUUUCCGGUCAGAACCCUCCAGCUGUGCCCCCUCUACUGCUCCGUCCUCCCUGCUCACAGGUGCGCUGCUAUUCUCUUUUUGUGUAAAGUUUCUCUCCGACCUGUCCUGCUACUGCUUCCUCUCUGCAUUCCCUUCCUACCCUUUCCUCAGCCACAAAUGUCAGGCCUUGACAUCCCAUCCCACGCGAUAGAAACUUGUGUUAGGAUUUAGUGAGAAUGCUUAUUAAGAAGUCCUGUGGCCUGGUUUCAGCCACAAGCUCCUUCCUAGCUUCUGUGUGCCGUUUGUUAUGUUGACUUUCCUUUUUUUUUUUUGGAAAAAAAAAAAUCUUGCUCUCCCUUGGUUGUGUCCGGGUCACAGUUCUCUCUCCUGCUUUGCUGCACAUAUCCUGCCUUUCUCCUUGCCAAUCUUUUGAGAUUGCAGUGCCUUAAAUUUGUGUCCCUGGUGCUCUUUUUUCCUGUGAGAGAACUCUGGCCUGUGUUCCGUUAUCUGGUGGCUUAAAUUUCCACUUCUACACCCAUGGUACCACAUCUGGAUCUUAAGGCCCUACCCUUUGCCUGAGUCUCACAUCUUUGUUUCAUGUUGCAUACCUAACACUUGAAACUCCCUGUGUCCCAAACCAGACUCCUUGUUUCUUCCCCACCUGAUCCUUUGUUCUCCGCACUGAGGUCUCAUAGCUAGCCCAGGCUCACAGCUCGGGCGUCCUGCUUGAUGCCCUGUGGUGCUCCUGGAGUCCGAAUGGCGACACACAGGUUCUGCCUGUCUUUUCCAUCUCUCCGAGCCACCGCAGCGGUGUGGCCCAGGGUCUCCCUGCCUUGUUCUUCCUUUUCCUACACCCCCCUUCUGCCUUCGUCUGAAGGCAGUUACCCCUACUCUGCAGGUGAAAGCCUCAGCUCCUUAGGUAACUGUGAAACCCUCUGUCCGUGCCGCACCUGUCCCUUCAGCACCUGGGUGAUGGGAGCGCCUGUAAGUUUCAAUUAAAUUUCCCCUCCUCUCUGUGUUGGCAACGCCCCCCGGCAGAAUGACUGGCUCCCUGUUCUGGGUUCAUGUGGCUCUUAAUACACUUUCUUCGUAAUAAUUUGUGAAUGUGUCUGUACACAUUGGGGAUCAUACCUGCAUAUCUUGUGUGUGUUCCGGGGCCAGACAGCCUUUCCAUCCCUCCCUGCUCCUGUGUUCCCACAUACUCUCCUGCUCCUCCACAUGCCCCAGAGGGAGGCAGAGCUGAAUGUUGACACUGGCCAAAUGAGCCCGUUGCCUGCUUGGGAAUGUGAGCGGAAAUCACCCACAAUUUCUUCAGACAAGCCAGGAGGGACCACUCUGUGAUCUGGAAGCUGUCCAGUGUUGGCGCCAAGAAGAGGGAUUUCCUCUUUCAUGUCCUGUCCAAAUGGUUCUGGUGGUGUGAUUCUCCCAGGGUUCUCCUGUUCCCGGGGAGGGGUGGGAAGAAGGGCGGGGAGAAGCUCACUGUCAAGGGGCUUUCUGUAGGAGAUGAAGAUGCCAGCCUCCUAGCAGAGAGGACUGUGGCUGCCGUGCUGAACUCAUGCAUUGUGUCCGCGCUGCGCGCGCUAAUUCCAGAUGGAAAAGGCUCACGUCAGGCCUGCUCCUUCCUCCCACUCCUGGCAGGGCUGUGGGUGGGCGGCGAUCCUGCUCCUGACCUCAAAUAAAGCGGCCCGUGGACCCAGAGAAGAGCCUGUAUUCUGGACUGGCGCUAGCCCACUGACACAGAAAACAAGGGUGGUGGCAGGUGCUGCGGGCGGGGCAGGAGGCAUGCCAGGGACCGCGGCCAUGGGGACGGCAGAGUUGGGCAUUUUUAAUUGAUGCCUUUAAUAAUUACUGUUUAAGCAACAGAAGGCAAAGUGAGACUGUUUCAAAGGCAAUGCAGAGCAGCACGAGUUUGGAAGUUGGCUCAGAAAUCCGUGCCUCCCCUCCUCGCUCUGUGGCUGUUAUUUGAAUAUAUUUUGUAUUUAAUUUUCCCUCCCCCUCAUUUUCGAGCACGCCAGUCCUUUCCCUAGAGGGAGUGGAAGAGGAAGGUGCUGUGUGACGUGUCCUCAUCCAGUUAUUACUUGCCCAGGGCCAGUGCACGUUUCUUCCACCAGUCAAAACACUCGUUUUAGUGAAGUUUGAGGCCCUGCUCCCCGCGCUGUUGUGGGCAUCAGAGGGGGAGCGGUUGUGACCCACCUGAGAGGCGGCCGGAGCUGUCCGUGACACGGCCUCACUGUGCUCCAGCAGGGCCCCCUGGGUCUGAAGAGGAAGUGGAGAUCCGGCUUCAAGAUAGACAUCCAUCGCAGGCCUCAACGCUUAAAUAUUUGUGAUUUGUCUUUUCUAAUUGCUUUUCAGUUUGUUUGCUUUUUCAAAAUCCGGUGUGUGGUUUCCACUGUGUCCUUGAGUUGGUGAAAUGGUUAGAGUUCUAGGAUGUCCGGAGCCUGGGCAGCAUCGUCAACAGUCACUGUUUGCUGAGUCGCCAGACAUCUGGGCUCUGGGACAGCUAAAGGGACACGGGCCCUGACCUCUAGGAACUCUUGCUGUAAGGAGACGUGACCGGCUGACCCGCGGCCUCAGCAGCUGUCGUUCCCGCGGCCCCCUCAUGCCUUCCCACAGCCCAUGUUUCUGGAAGGGGUGCGGAGCUUUGAAAGGCUGCUCUGGGGCCUACGUAAGCCCGGCCCCUCGGGGCUCGUGCCUCCUGCCGUACGGAGAGUUUGUGCUCUCCCUGGGUUGACAGUCCCUUCCUGGUGACACACCGAAGGCUCUGGGUCCAGCAGCAGGUACCAGGCCCACCCAACAGGGGAGUAUGGGUGCCUGUCCCAGGGGCCAGAGCCACCUGGGCCCGGUCACAGGGAGUAAGCUGGGAGUGCCCUCCGUCACACCAGGACUGGCCUCGGGCACACAUGAGACCUGAUGCUCCCAGCCCCUCAGACACAGAGUUCCUGGCGACGGGCGGAGCAGCCAGCCCUUCUGCUUGGAUCCCAAUACACUGCAGGUAAAAUCCAGAGAUGGCCCAUGAUCUCCAGGCUUCUGGUGGUCUGGCUCACAGCGUCCCCGUUCCCGAUGCCUGUGUACCUACUGUUCCUUCUCCCAGGAGCCCCCCACAGUUCCCUCCCCAUUUCUCCUUCAGCUGUGCUUAGACGCGCCCUUUGGGGGAUGUCUGUGGUCGCAUUAUCUGACGAGUGCACCCUCACCCCUCUGCCUGCCGGGUGCCUGUGAUGUGCUUCAGACGCCUGCUGGGUGGCAUCUCCUUAUCUGUGUCCUCCAUCUCCCUCGUGACAGGAGGAAGGGGCUUUGGCCAUCUGCUGUUGCUGUGGCCUCUGGCCUCCCAAGCCGGCACUGAGCGGGUACCUGUGCCCUCUGAGGGCGCCCCGCCGCCCUGGGUGGCAGGCAGGCUGACGGCUGGGCCUCUGUCUCGCACUCCCCAGCCAGGCCUUCUACCCACAGCUUAUCUGCUUCCUGGCACGGGAGACGCUGUUCACUGCUCACUGCAGAUGCUAAGCUAGAAUAUUCAAGAAGCAUAUUGAAAGUCAAGUUUCGGGUGCUUUUCCCAAGAAAAGGUUUCUGUGUCUGCUGUUGGGCAACUCACUGCCUCAUUCUCCUCCGUAAAUCCAGGGCUCUUGGGACAGUGGCCCUGUCCCCUUCUCCACAUUUGGCACAGAGUUCAUAGUGGUGAACCAUAGUCCUCAUUUGUUUUGUUUUGUUGGGGUGGAGAAUUGGAAGGUGGGUUAAUAAAAUACGCUUUGAUUCGA